rnacentral:misc_RNA from 1 species
AGUAUUGUAAAGGCGCCAACGAUGUUGUCUUCGUCUCGCACAACGCAAAUUUAUUCAAAGACCCACUGCCACAUUUUGAUACGCUCCCAAGCAGCUAAACACGUUUCGUAUGCUUGCAUGUCCAUUUCGUAAUGCCCCCGAUCAGGAACUAAGGUCUGUCCACGCGAGAUGGCGGCGAUAAAGAACAUCACCCUGGGCAUUCUGUACGGCCUGUGGGACAGCAUACGUGGCAUGACACUGGUCCUGCAUAUCGAUGACGAGGUGAACCGCCAGAAUGCCGAGCAGGAGCACCGCCAACAGCUGCGUCGCACCGACAAGGAUCGUUACGAACGCGCCAGGAGGUCACCGUCACCAGUGCCCAGUUCUGCGGCUGCUAUGAUUCGGGAAGAGUACGCCAAGCAGGCGGAGGAGAAUGCCGACGAGCGGACGCUGGAGAAGAUCCUGGGCAAGAAGCCAGCCACCCAGGAUCAACAGCCGCAGGGGGAAAAGAAGAUCGCCAAGAAGCUGUUCAAGUGCUGUAUGCUUAAUGGCGGUUUCACCUGGCUGAGCAUCGUCCUGUUCGAAUCCGCUCUGCUGCCCACGCUUAAAUUCUGCCUCACCAUCUUCUAUGGAGCCCAAUCCGAGACCCUGCCGGUGGUUUGGGGCUGGCUGCAUCCCAUCCUGUCCCUGCUUUUCGGCAUGAUGUGGGUACUGCCCAUCUUCAUGUUGUCCAAGAUUGUGAGCUCUCUGUGGUUUGCGGACAUAGCCAAUGCUGCCUAUCGCGUGAGAAAGGGACGUCCGCAGCUGAUCCCCGGGAUCAGCAAGCUGGUGGCCGACUUCCUAUUCAGCAUGGUGGUGCAAAUGCUGUUCCUGGUCCAGAGCAUGCUAGUUAACCUAGUGCCUGUCAAGUAUGUGGGCUCAUCGCUGUGCUUCGUGCAUCUGUGCCUUCUCUACUCACUGUACUCCUUCGAGUACAAGUGGUUCAACAUGGGCUGGGAGCUACAUAGACGCCUCACGUACAUUGAGAAGAACUGGCCCUAUUUCUUCGGCUUCGGAAUACCGCUUACCGUGCUGACAAAUCUGUCCAGCUCGGUGAUCGUCAGCAGCUGCAUCUUUUCAAUCUUCUUUCCCCUAUUCAUACUCAGCGGUAAUGAGGCAAAACCCAUUGUGGACACCACUGAGGUCUCCCUGCGUCUCUUCUCGCCGGUGGUCUUCAUAUCGAACCUGUGCUUCGGCGGCAAUCCGUGGAGCAAGGCCAACCGACUGAGUGCCAUGCAGCGGCAGCAGUAUGAGCUGCAGCAGCGCCAGCGUUUGCUCCAGCGCGACGAGCAGCUCCUCAAGCAGCGCAAGCAGCAAUAUGUGCAGCAGCAACGGCUGCAACAGGAGCAGCUGAUGCGACGCGAUCGCUCUCAUUCGCGGUCACAGACACCGCAGCUGGGACAUCCCCAUCGCUACGCCCAGGCGCCCGUUUUCGAUGCGGGACGGGUGCGCGACUCCUCUGCCUCGUCCACGCACAGCUCCAACGCGCCGAGCAUUAAUAGCCACCGGCCGCCGCCUUAUUACGGGAGCUCGCUGCGCGGAGCCGCACCUUUGGUGCCCACUCCCGUGCCCGGUGCACCGAGAGCUCCGCUAACCCCGCCCGUGAUACGCCAGGAGUCGGGGCCUGAUGACUGGAACUUGUGAGAUUUAUGCUUAUACACGCAACGUAGGCUUUAGUUAUAUAUAAUUCGAUCUGUGUAAUGUCUACGCAUAAUGACAAUGUUCGCUAGUCGACACCGCCACCACCACCACAACGCCCCAUUCGGAACGGGCAUGACUAUAUAUACAUAGAGUGGCUAUAUCUGAAAUGCGGCUCGCGCAACUGCUGCAUAAUCUUAUAGAUGUUUAUUUUAGGCGGCGUUUUUCUCUUUAAUUUUUGCUCGUAGGGUGUUAUGCUCUACACUAGAAAUUACGUCGGGCGUAAAGUUCGUUUAAUGUAUAAUUAAUCAAAAAUAAAAUUAAUUUUGUACUUUCGUCAA